CUACGGGUUGCUCCAGUGGGGAAUAUUGCACAAUGGGCGAAAGCCUGAUGCAGCAACGCCGCGUGAGGGAAGACGGUUUUCGGAUUGUAAACCUUUGUCUUCGGUGACGAUAAUGACGGUAGCCGAGGAGGAAGCCACGGCUAACUACGUGCCAGCAGCCGCGGUAAUACGUAGGUGGCGAGCGUUAUCCGGAAUUACUGGGUGUAAAGGGAGCGCAGGCGGGAUAGCAAGUCAGCGGUGAAAAUUAUGGGCUUAACCCAUAAACUGCCGUUGAAACUGUUAUUCUUGAGUGGAGUAGAGGCAAGCGGAAUUCCGAGUGUAGCGGUGAAAUGCGUAGAUAUUCGGAGGAACACCAGUGGCGAAGGCGGCUUGCUGGGCUCUAACUGACGCUGAGGCUCGAAAGUGUGGGGAGCAAACAGGAUUAGAUACCCGGGUAGUC
rnacentral:rRNA from 1 species